UGGUGUGUCUGAAGACAGCUACAGUGUACUUA
rnacentral:piRNA from 2 species